rnacentral:rRNA from 1 species
AGGACGAACGCUGGCGGCGUGCCUAACACAUGCAAGUCGAACGAGGUCCAACCGGUGGCAACACUGGUGAAGACCGAGUGGCGAACGGGUGAGUAACACGUGAGCAACCUGCCUCGAAGACUGGGAUAACCCCGGGAAACCGGAGCUAAUACCGGAUACCCCCACCGGGUCGCAUGGCCUGGUGAGGAAAUGGAUUCCGCUUUGAGAGGGGCUCGCGGCCUAUCAGCUUGAUGGUGGGGUAAUGGCCUACCAUGGCACCGACGGGUAGCUGGUCUGAGAGGACGAUCAGCCACACUGGGACUGAGACACGGCCCAGACUCCUACGGGAGGCAGCAGUGGGGAAUCUUGCGCAAUGGGGGAAACCCUGACGCAGCAACGCCGCGUGGAGGAUGAAGUCCCUUGGGACGUAAACUCCUUUCGAUCGGGACGAUAAUGACGGUACCGAGAGAAGAAGCCCGGCUAACUUCGUGCCAGCAGCCGC